UGGGGAAUAUUGCACAAUGGGCGAAAGCCUGAUGCAGCGACGCCGCGUGAGUGAAGAAGGUCUUCGGAUCGUAAAACUCUGUCCUUGGUGAAGAAAAAAAUGACGGUAGCCAAGGAGGAAGCCCCGGCUAACUACGUGCCAGCAGCCGCGGUAAUACGUAGGGGGCGAGCGUUGUCCGGAUUUACUGGGCGUAAAGGGUGAGUAGGUGGUUGUAUAAGUCAGAUGUAAAAGGCGUAGGCUCAACUUACGUAAGCAUUUGAAACUGAGAAACUUGAGUGCAGGAGAGGAGAGUAGAAUUCCUAGUGUAGCGGUGAAAUGCGUAUAUAUUAGGAGGAAUACCAGUUGCGAAGGCGGCUCUCUGGACUGUAACUGACACUGAGGCACGAAAGCGUGGGGAGCAAACAGG
rnacentral:rRNA from 1 species